UUCUCUUCUUCCUUGCUCUUUCUUUCCGCCUCCACUUCCCUUCUCCUCUAAAUCUGCCUCCGUCUCUGCAAUAUUCUUCUCUAGAAGAGAUAAGAAAACCUCCGCCUCUAACAUGAAUUGAAGAUGCAGAACCUCGCGGAAACCCUAGCAAGCAAAACCGUGUCAUUUUUCGCCCUCGUUAAGUUCAAAUCCAAGAACUCCCAUCUUUUCCACCAUGAAACCAAAACCACAGAAACCCAAUCAAUCAUACACAAUUCCUAAUGCGAAUUAACCAAACUGGGUGAAAUUGAAGCACAUCUUCUCUUUGUGUUUCCGGUUAACUGAGAAGAGAAGAAGAUGUGUGCCGAUAAUACUACACCAGAAGGAGAUAAAGAUGAACUUAAUUAACCACCACCACAGAAUCACCGAUGAUAGCAAUACCCUCUGUAGUAUACAAACCUGAAAUCAUAAAUAUUCGAAUGUAUGCUCAUGCACAUGAUCGAUUAAUGGGAAUGGACUCUUUCACCUAGUGUGUCUCCUUCUCUCAGGUAUCAACAUUCGUUGUCCUGGAAUUUCUUUUUGUAUCUAAGUUUGAGUGAUUUUUGUCAGGAGGAAAAGGCUCUCAGGUAUCAACAUUUGUUGUCCUGGAAUUUUAUUUUUUUUUGUAUCUAAGUUUGGGUGAUUUUUUUCAGGAGGAAAAGGCUAAACGAUAUUGAGAUUGAAUGAAAAUAAAGAAUUUCAAUUUUUAUCUCCUGCUUGUUUCAUUUUUCUUUGCUUUAAAAGAAUAUGAUAUGUGCCUUUUUUUUCAUUUAUCUUGCAUAUUUUCUUUUGAACCCAAAUUGCAUUAUUGACUUCUCUAGGCUCCACUUUCUAGUCCCCGCAAAAUUAUAAUUUGUUGUCAUGAGGUUACAAACAGAGUUGUAACAAUCUCGUAUUUUCCUCAAUGAAUGUUCUCUUAGACAUGUAGUUAUACUUAGAAAAGAUUGCAAUAGUUUUCUUUGCAACAUUCCAUCCAGACGAUUGAAUCUAUUUCCUUUCCCUCUUUCUCUUGCAGGUACUUAUUUAGAAGUUAUAGAGAGAUGCAGAGGAAACUGUGCUGGGAAGACUUGGAAAAGGGGAUGGUUUGGUGGUUCAUCAUCUUCGAAGAUCCAAAACUGGUGUUGAAUUUAUGUUCCAUGUUUUUACUUAAUUAUCUACUUUUACGCAUUUUCUCAGGAAAUGUAAUAAGAAUAAUUUUUCAUUAAUAAAUAAAGAGUUCAACCAUAUAAAUUUAAGAGU